rnacentral:rRNA from 1 species
GGUGGGGAUGACGUCAAGUCCUCAGGCCCUUAUGCCCAGGGCUACACACGUGCUACAAUGGGCGGUACAAAGGGUAGCGAUGCCGCGAGGUGAAGCCAAUCCCAAAAAGCCGUCCACAGUUCGGAUUGGAGUCUGCAACUCGACUCCAUGAAGCCGGAAUCGCUAGUAAUCGUGGAUCAGCAUGCCACGGUGAAUACGUUCCCGGGCCUU